GUUACUGCGAAGGGGGGAAGGAGAAGGCUAUGUUGGCCGGGCGACGGUUGUCCCGGUUUAAGCGUGUAGGCUGGUUUUCCAGGCAAAUCCGGAAAACCAAGGCUGAGGCGUGAUGACGAGGCACUACGGUGCUGAAGCGACAAAUGCCCUGCUUCCAGGAAAAGCCUCUAAGCAUCAGGUAACAUCAAAUCGUACCCCAAACCGACACAGGUGGUCAGGUAGAGAAUACCAAGGCGCUUGAGAGAACUCGGGUGAAGGAACUAGGCAAAAUGGUGCCGUAACUUCGGGAGAAGGCACGCUGAUAUGUAGGUGAAGCGACUUGCUCGUGGAGCUGAAAUCAGUCGAAGAUACCAGCUGGCUGCAACUGUUUAUUAAAAACACAGCACUGUGCAAACACGAAAGUGGACGUAUACGGUGUGACGCCUGCCCGGUGCCGGAAGGUUAAUUGAUGGGGUUAGCGGCAACGCGAAGCUCUUGAUCGAAGCCCCGGUAAACGGCGGCCGUAACUAUAACGGUCCUAAGGUAGCGAAAUUCCUUGUCGGGUAAGUUCCGACCUGCACGAAUGGCGUAAUGAUGGCCAGGCUGUCUCCACCCGAGACUCAGUGAAAUUGAACUCGCUGUGAAGAUGCAGUGUACCCGCGGCAAGACGGAAAGACCCCGUGAACCUUUACUAUAGCUUGACACUGAACAUUGAGCCUUGAUGUGUAGGAUAGGUGGGAGGCUUUGAAGUGUGGACGCCAGUCUGCAUGGAGCCGACCUUGAAAUACCACCCUUUAAUGUUUGAUGUUCUAACGUUGGCCCGUAAUCCGGGUUGCGGACAGUGUCUGGUGGGUAGUUUGACUGGGGCGGUCUCCUCCUAAAGAGUAACGGAGGAGCACGAAGGUUGGCUAAUCCUGGUCGGACAUCAGGAGGUUAGUGCAAUGGCAUAAGCCAGCUUGACUGCGAGCGUGACGGCGCGAGCAGGUGCGAAAGCAGGUCAUAGUGAUCCGGUGGUUCUGAAUGGAAGGGCCAUCGCUCAACGGAUAAAAGGUACUCCGGGGAUAACAGGCUGAUACCGCCCAAGAGUUCAUAUCGACGGCGGUGUUUGGCACCUCGAUGUCGGCUCAUCACAUCCUGGGGCUGAAGUAGGUCCCAAGGGUAUGGCUGUUCGCCAUUUAAAGUGGUACGCGAGCUGGGUUUAGAACGUCGUGAGACAGUUCGGUCCCUAUCUGCCGUGGGCGCUGGAGAACUGAGGGGGGCUGCUCCUAGUACGAGAGGACCGGAGUGGACGCAUCACUGGUGUUCGGGUUGUCAUGCCAAUGGCACUGCCCGGUAGCUAAAUGCGGAAGAGAUAAGUGCUGAAAGCAUCUAAGCACGAAACUUGCCCCGAGAUGAGUUCUCCCUGACUCCUUGAGGGUCCUGAAGGAACGUUGAAGACGACGACGUUGAUAGGCCGGGUGUGUAAGCGCAGCGAUGCGUUGAGCUAACCGGUACUAAUGAACCGUGAGGCUUAACCUUACAACGCCGAAG
rnacentral:rRNA from 1 species